GUCUCUGUGGCGCAAUCGGUAAGCGCAUUCGGCUGUUAACUGAAAGGUUGGUGAUCGUUAACUAAGUCUCUGGCACAAUAGGUUAGUGCCUUCAGCUGUUAACUGAAAGAUUGGUGGUUCAAGCUCACCCAGGGACA
rnacentral:tRNA from 1 species